rnacentral:rRNA from 1 species
UUUUGUGAUGCCCCUAGAUGUUUUGGGCCGCACGCGCGCUACACUGACAGAGCCAGCGAGUUUUUUUUCCUUGGCCGGAAGGUCAUGGGUAAUCUUGUGAAACUCUGUCGUGCUGGGGAUAGAGCAUUGCAAUUAUUGCUCUUCAACGAGGAAUACCUAGUAAGCGGAGUCAUCAGC